rnacentral:rRNA from 1 species
CCUCUUUUAGCAGGGAGAAGCGAAAGUGNCGGUACCUGCAGAAAAAGCANCGGCUAACUACGUGCCAGCAGCCGCGGUAAUACGUAGGGUGCAAGCGUUAUCCGGAAUUAUUGGGCGUAAAGAGCUCGUAGGCGGUUUGUCGCGUCUGCUGUGAAACCCCGAGGCUCAACCUCGGGCCUGCAGUGGGUACGGGCAGACUAGAGUGCGGUAGGGGAGAUUGGAAUUCCUGGUGUAGCGGUGGAAUGCGCAGAUAUCAGGAGGAACACCGAUGGCGAAGGCAGAUCUCUGGGCCGUAACUGACGCUGAGGAGCGAAAGGGUGGGGAGCAAACAGGCUUAGAUACCCUGGUAGUCCACCCCGUAAACGUUGGGAACUAGUUGUGGGGGCCAUUCCACGGUCUCCGUGACGCAGCUAACGCAUUAAGUUCCCCGCCUGGGGAGUACGGCCGCAAGGCUAAAACUCAAAGGAAUUGACGGGGACCCGCACAAGCGGCGGAGCAUGCGGAUUAAUUCGAUGCAACGCGAAGAACCUUACCAAGGCUUGACAUAUACGAGAACGGGCCAGAAAUGGUCAACUCUUUGGACACUCGUAAACAGGUGGUGCAUGGUUGUCGUCAGCUCGUGUCGUGAGAUGUUGGGUUAAGUCCCGCAACGAGCGCAACCCUCGUUCUAUGUUGCCAGCACGUAAUGGUGGGAACUCAUGGGAUACUGCCGGGGUCAACUCGGAGGAAGGUGGGGAUGACGUCAAAUCAUCAUGCCCCUUAUGUCUUGGGCUUCACGCAUGCUACAAUGGCCGGUACAAAGGGCUGCAAUACCGUAAGGUGGAGCGAAUCCCAAAAAGCCGGUCCCAGUUCGGAUUGAGGUCUGCAACUCGACCUCAUGAAGUCGGAGUCGCUAGUAAUCGCAGAUCAGCAACGCUGCGGUGAAUACGUUCCCGGGUCUUGUACACACCGCCCGUCAAGUCAUGAAAGUCGGUAACACCUGAAGCCGGUGGCCCAACCCCUUGUGGGAGGGAGCC